AAGACUAUACUUUUGGGGAUCAUUUCUAUAGUGAUCGAUAGGAGAAGUUUCUCCUAUCGUGUAGAGCAACUGAAGCUAUGAGGAAGAGGAGUUGGAGCAUCUCUCCUGAGCAUGAAGCCAGUUCUAAGUGUUGCUUUUGUAACUUCCUUUUACCAUUGAUGAGUGAUCUCUUGGAAGAGUGAGAGGAAGAGGAUUUAGUUUGAGUGGU